rnacentral:rRNA from 1 species
CCUACGGGAGGCAGCAGUGGGGAAUAUUGCACAAUGGGGGAAACCCUGAUGCAGCGACGCCGCGUGAGUGAGGAAGUAUUUCGGUAUGUAAAGCUCUAUCAGCAGGGAAGAAAAUGACGGUACUUGACUAAGAAGCCCCGGCUAACUACGUGCCAGCAGCCGCGGUAAUACGUAGGGGGCAAGCGUUAUCCGGAUUUACUGGGUGUAAAGGGAGCGUAGACGGCUAAGCAAGUCCGAAGUGAAAACCCAGGGCUCAACCCUGGGACUGCAUUGGAAACUGAGGAGCUGGAGUGCAGGAGAGGUAAGCGGAAUUCCUAGUGUAGCGGUGAAAUGCGUAGAUAUUAGGAGGAACACCAGUGGCGAAGGCGGCUUACUGGACUGUAACUGACGUUGAGGCUCGAAAGCGUGGGGAGCAAACAGGAUUAGAUACCCGUGUAGUC